rnacentral:tRNA from 3 species
UGCCGCGAUGGCGGAACUGGCAGACGCGCAGUGUUCAGGUCGCUGUGGGAUUUAUUCCCGUGCAGGUUCGAUUCCUGUUCGCGGCAU